GGGGGCCCGCACAAGCGGCGGAGCAUGCGGAUUAAUUCGAUGCAACGCGAAGAACCUUACCAAGGCUUGACAUGGACCGGACCGGGCUGGAAACAGUCCUUCCCCUUUGGGGCCGGUUCACAGGUGGUGCAUGGUUGUCGUCAGCUCGUGUCGUGAGAUGUUGGGUUAAGUCCCGCAACGAGCGCAACCCUCGUUCCAUGUUGCCAGCGCGUAAUGGCGGGGACUCAUGGGAGACUGCCGGGGUCAACUCGGAGGAAGGUGGGGACGACGUCAAAUCAUCAUGCCCCUUAUGUCUUGGGCUUCACGCAUGCUACAAUGGCCGGUACAAAGGGUUGCGAUACUGUGAGGUGGAGCUAAUCCCAAAAAGCCGGUCUCAGUUCGGAUUGGGGUCUGCAACUCGACCCCAUGAAGUCGGAGUCGCUAGUAAUCGCAGAUCAGCAACGCUGCGGUGAAUACGUUCCCGGGCCUUGUACACACCGCCCGUCAAGUCACGAAAGUUGGUAACACCCGAAGCCGGUGGCCUAACCCCUUGUGGGGGGGAGCUGUCGAAGGUGGGACUGGCGAUUGGGACUAA
rnacentral:rRNA from 1 species